AGCUUCAUUUAAUCUUGGCCCAGAGCUCUCACUCCUGGUUUGAGCUUCCCUGGGUCUUAGCCUUGUGUUCUGUCUCUGCCUUGGUUGGCUGUUGGUUCGGAAUUGAAUAAAGAAGAGAUUCCUUCCUUGCAGAGCUGCUGUUAUCCAAAGGACAAAAUACCAGUCAGCACGACUAUUGUCUCCUCUGUCACAGGUCCUCAGCUCUCCAAUCUUUUUUCUGACAUCAGGUAAGCAACUUGACCACAAAUUAGAUCUCUAUUUUGGACGUGCCUGAGUGCACAUUGCACUGCAAGCCUUAAAUUCAGGCCUUGGGUUCCCAAUACUUCACUCUCUCCUCUCAUUCACUUUCUUCUUCACUUCUCUGGGUGAGAGAUCUCUGUAUUUCUGUUCUACUCCAAAUACACCUCUCACUCCAGUCAGGUUUUGGUACUUUUGAUAAGGAUACCAACAAAUGCCCCACCAGCACAGUCAGAGGCUGUGCAGAACCUGCUGCCACAUAGGAAAAGGGGACAAGGUGUUUAUUGCAAACUGGAUGGAAGUACCCUGUGGUUAUCUGAAAGGAUCACCUUGUAUGAAUGGGUUAAAUAGUUUUGAAAGUAGUUUUUAAACAGUGAGGCUAUGCAGUCUCAUUGCAUUGAGUAAAGCCUGAGCAAGCCCACUUCUUACACUCUGUGUGUAGGUGAAGCCACUCACCAGAGCAGUUUGCUCCUGGCAGCCCAGGAGAAGGAUGGUCACAGUCUUGCUGCAUCUGAGGUCAUUGUAUUUAUCGUGUCUUUCCCUGCAGUGUCUGCUCUGGGGAUGGACAUAGGAUACCUAUCUGCAGAGCUGCCAGUCAAUAACUUGCAAUUAUAAUCACCUAGUUUUUAGGCUAGAGAACAAUCACCCUGCACCAGGAGAUAAGGACAAGUCAGUGAGUUAGCUUGGUGUGUUUUGCUGUUAUCUCUCUAUCCAUGCUGUUCUGAGACUCACACGCAAAGUCUCUGGAGAGUUCCCUUGUCUUUCUGCUGGAUGCCUAACUGCUAAAUUUUGUUGGAAACUAGUCCUUACCAGUCCCACUAACAAGCAUUAAUGGCUCUGUUGAGCCUCAGCAGGGGCUCACCCUCAGACUCUGCCAUGCCCAGGUGCUCUGUUUAGGCUCAGACUUGGGUUGGCACUUCUGGCCAGAGUCCUGCUGUGAAAUGCUGGUCUCUGGAUCAUUUGUGCUUGUGCCUGGAUGUUUUGGUUUCUGCACUCCACAAGGUGAAUUUUGCUCUACUUUGUCUCAUUGCUGCCAGAAAUGCUUGUGGAGCAGAACCAGGUUUGCAAAAACAGCAUCCUUUGUGCUUACAGCCAGCCAGGCACUGUCCAGGAGCAGUGCAUGCCACUUUGGAGAGUUGUUGACACGGAGCCUGGAAAGAUGUGGCUCUAUAAUGUACUCAUUGUCCUCACAUCUCAGCAGUUGUAGUCCACUUUUGGUCUGACUCCUUAAAGGUGAAGAGGAAAUGGAUUGUGCUUCUGUGGACUCACAACUUCUUACUGCUGGCUGCAUGUUAUCUGGCAGACUGCUGGGUCCCUGUUUGAUAGCUGAGGAAAAAUAGAGGAAUGUAACAAUUCUUUAAAUGAAGCAGGAAAAUGAACAUCAAAUUAUAUAUCAACCCUCACAACUACAACUGUGCUGGGUUCCCUUUCAGCUCAGACAUGGAAAACGUGCCUGGAAGUAGUUGGAGACACCUAUUGUGAAUCUGUCUUUACAGCUAAUUCCUGAAAGUCUUUCUGUUCAUCAGCAUCCUUGCAUAUGCCUUGUGAGCCAGCCCAGCAGGUGUGUGAAUGCUGCUUGUUUCCUCUGUCACCAAAACUUGGCACACACAGUGAGUGGGCAGUGAGAACUGCUCUGGAGUCUGCUGCUUGCCCUUUGUGUGUCAGUGUUUCCUGUCAGGCUGUCACAGGACACAAAUAACAGGCAGAAGGGAUGCAGACAGGGGCAGUGACCUUGGCAGGCUGUUUUCCCAAAAGGCCUGGGGCCAGCCUCUGGUCUUAGACACUCACCAUUCCCAGUGGGAUUGGCAGGGAAAACUAACAGUGAGGAGGAGUUCUACAAGCAGAUGCACUGCUAUGGUAAGAGCAAAGUUGCAGUUACAUUUGAUAUUCAAUUUGCCAAAUUACCUCAGCUGAAAGUAAUUUGCAGCAACUGUGCACAAACUCAGCAGGCAGUGGUCCUCGAGGUGAAUUUGAAUUACUUGAUAAGUGUUCAGCAAGUCUCUUUUAUGUUUAGGGAAUCUUAUUCCUAAAUUGCCUUUCUCUGUUGGUUGUAUGCUUCUUAUUUUGUAUGUACUUUGUAAUUGGGAGUGAAGGGCCAGAGUCUUGGCUCUUAACUGGAGACAGAUUUUGGUUGUUGCCUUCGAAAUUUUCUUGAAGUGGGAUAGUGUUCCUUCCUGGAGCUAUUGCUUGGAAGGGAGGAAAAUACUGCCCCAUAUCAGCUGUGAAUGUAAUAACACAUCUGAAUAGACACCAGGUUCUUAAGUUAAUUUCUCCUUCCUUUUAGGCUUCUUCAGACUGGUCCAGGAUUUCUUCUAUAAGCUUGUAGUUGUUCUUUCUA